GACGAACGCUGGCGGCGUGCUUAACACAUGCAAGUCGAACGAGAGCGUAGAGAAAGCUUGCUUUUUCUACAAUCUAGUGGCAAACGGGUGAGUAACGCGUAAACAACCUGCCCUACGGAUGGGGACAACAGCUGGAAACGGCUGCUAAUACCGAAUACGUUCCGAAAGUCGCAUGACUGUCGGAAGAAAGGAUGGCCUCUAUUUAUAAGCUAUCGCCGGAGGAGGGGUUUGCGUCUGAUUAGCUAGUUGGAGGGGUAACGGCCCACCAAGGCGACGAUCAGUAGCCGGUCUGAGAGGAUGAACGGCCACAUUGGAACUGAGACACGGUCCAGACUCCUACGGGAGGCAGCAGUGGGGAAUCUUCCGCAAUGGGCGAAAGCCUGACGGAGCAACGCCGCGUGAGUGAAGACGGCCUUCGGGUUGUAAAGCUCUGUUAUACGGGACGAAUAAUCUUGUGGUUAAUACCCAUGAGAAGUGACGGUACCGUAAGAGAAAGCCACGGCUAACUACGUGCCAGCAGCCGCGGUAAUACGUAGGUGGCAAGCGUUGUCCGGAAUUAUUGGGCGUAAAGGGCGCGCAGGCGGCUUCUUAAGUCUGUCUUAAAAGUGCGGGGCUUAACCCCGUGAUGGGAUGGAAACUGGGAAGCUCAGAGUAUCGGAGAGGAAAGCGGAAUUCCUAGUGUAGCGGUGAAAUGCGUAGAUAUUAGGAGGAACACCAGUGGCGAAAGCGGCUUUCUGGACGAAAACUGACGCUGAGGCGCGAAAGCCAGGGGAGCGAACGGGAUUAGAUACCCCGGUAGUCCUGGCCGUAAACGAUGGGUACUAGGUGUAGGAGGUAUCG
rnacentral:rRNA from 1 species